rnacentral:rRNA from 1 species
GAUGAACGCUGGCGGCGUGCCUAAUACAUGCAAGUCGAACGGUAAAGGAAUGAGCUUGCUCUUUCCGGAGGAGUUGCGAACGGAUGAGUAACGCGUAGGUCACCUGCCUGGUAGCGGGGGAUAACAAUUGGAAACGAUAGCUAAUACUGCAUAACAGUAGCUGUUGCAGGAUACCUACUUACAAGGUGCAAUUGGACCACUACCAGAUGGACCUGCGUUGUAUUAGCUAGUUGGUGAGGUAACGGCUCACCAAGGCGACGAUACAUAGCCGACCUGGGAGGGUGGUCGGCCACCCUGGGACUUGAACACGGCCCAGGCUCCUGCGGGAGGCAGCAGUAGGGAAUCUUCGGCAAUGGACGGAAGUCUUACCCAACACCGCCGCGUGAGUGAAGGAGGUUUUCGGAGCGUAAAGCUCUGUUUUAAGAGAAGAACGAGUGUCAGAGUGGAAAGUUCACACUGUGACGGUACCUUACGAAAAAGCACCGGCUAACUACGUG